rnacentral:rRNA from 1 species
UACGUAGGGUGCAAGCGUUAAUCGGAAUUACUGGCGUAAAGCGUGCGCAGGCGGCUUUGCAAGACAGAUGUGAAAUCCCCGGGCUACAACCCUGGGAACUGCAUUUGUGACUGCAAGGCUGGAGUACGGUAGAGGGGGAUGGAAUUCCGCGUGUAGCAGUGAAAUGCGUAGAUAUGCGGAGGAACACCGAUGGCGAAGGCAAUCCCCUGGGCCUGCACUGACGCUCAUGCACGAAAGCGUGGGGAGCAAACAGG